UACGUAGGGUGCAAGCGUUAAUCGGAAUUACUGGGCGUAAAGCGUGCGCAGGCGGCUUUGCAAGACAGAUGUGAAAUCCCCGGGCUAACCUGGGAACUGCAUUUGUGACUGCAUGGCUAGAGUGCGGCAGAGGGGGAUGGAAUUCCGCGUGUAGCAGUGAAAUGCGUAGAUAUGCGGAGGAACACCGAUGGCGAAGGCAAUCCCCUGGGCCUGCACUGACGCUCAUGCACGAAAGCGUGGGGAGCAAACAGG
rnacentral:rRNA from 1 species